UACGAAGGGGGGCUAGCGUUGCUCGGAAUCACUGGGCGUAAAGCGCACGUAGGCGGACUCUUAAAGUCGGGUGGUGAAAUCCCUGGAGCUCAACUCCAGAACUGCCUUCGAUACUGAGAGUCUCGAGUCCGGGAGAGGUGAGUGGAACUGCGAGUGUAGAGGUGAAAUUCGUAGAUAUUCGCAAGAACACCAGUGGCGAAGGCGGCUCACUGGCCCGGUACUGACGCUGAGGUGCGAAAGGCCGUGGGGAGCAAACAGG
rnacentral:rRNA from 1 species